rnacentral:lncRNA from 1 species
AAACGGAACAGGAAAUGAAUUAAUGAAAUAAAUAAAUAAAUAAAUAUUAAUUAAUAAUUAUAAAAUAUACAAGUGGAAGAUAAUAAGAAGUCUAGAAUAUGUAUGAAAAAAGGGACGAAUGAUAACUGAAAGGAGCGCAACGAACCACGACAUAUACCGGGUCCGUGUUGUAUUUAUGAACAUUGGUGGGAUGCGAAGGGGGAGGUAUCAGGGCCUGUUCGGGGGAGGAGGGCCGAUGCUGCCAAACGAAUGGAACGCCGGAAUGAAGGGGCCCCGAUAUAGCGAGGAGCCAACGCCGGCAGCUGCCGGCCGGUAAAACGAGAAACAGAAAUAGGGAGCCACCGGUUGCCGGCUGUACGACUAACGCGGCAGGUGCA